CCGGAUUUAUUGGGCGUAAAGCGCUCGCAGGUGGUUCGUUGCGUCGUGCGUGAAAGACCCCGGCUCAACUGGGGGAUGUCGUGCGAUACGGGCGGACUGGAGGCCAGUAGGGGGAUGCGGAAUUCCGGGUGUAGUGGUGGAAUGCGUAGAGAUCCGGAGGAACACCAGCGGCGAAGGCGGCAUCCUGGACUGGUCCUGACACUCAGGAGCGAAAGCGUGGGGAGCGAUCCGG
rnacentral:rRNA from 1 species